GAAAGUUGUUUUAGGAAUUACAACGGCGCGUGACCAGACUUAGAUGAUGUCGAGGAAAGACAAUGAUUUACCGAAGUGACUUCAGGCCCCGUUCAAUGAGUGUCUACUGUACCGGCCCUUGGCGUAACCGGCCGUGGCACGAGAACUAUGGUUGGAAAGCAAAAUAAAUGAAGACAAGACAAGACAAGACCGAAAUCAAAUUUUAAAGCACUUGUCAUUGCUAAGGCACCACCGCAAGUACAGCAGUGGCGCAGCUCAACAGGGUCGAACUGAACUCAUGUGAAAACAACACCGAAAUCAUCCUUAUUCGACGACAAUGUAUAAUGUAAAAGAAAAUACAAUGAAGAAUGUGAGAUGAAUCAGAUUUCUAAAUUUAUGUAAAUUCGUUUGGAAUUCAAAGUAA